GCGUUAAGCUGUUGUUUUAGUGUUCUUAUGAUGAGUUUGGCUUGUUGUUAUGAACAUUGUUCGUUUUGGCCAGUUUGAAGGUUUUUUAGCAUGUGUAAUACCAUGAAUGUGUUGAAUUAGUAAUCCCUUGUGUUAAGCCGUUGUUUUAGUGUUCUAUUGAUGACUUUGGCUUGUUGUUAUGAAAAGUGUUUGUUUUUGGCGAGUUUGAACGUUUUUUAGCAUGUGUAAUGGCAUGAAUGCGUUAAGCUGUUGUUUUAGUGUUCUUAUGAUGAGUUUGGCUUGUUGUUAUGAACAUUGUUCGUUUUGGCCAGUUUGAAGGUUUUUUAGCAUGUGUAAUAGCAUGAAUGUGUUGAAUUUGUGUUCUUUUGAUGAGUUUGGCUUGUUGUUAUGAAAAGUGUUUGUUUUGGCGAAUUUGAACGUUUUUGAUCAUGUGUAAUGGCAUGAAUGCGUUAAGCUGUUGUUUUAGUGUUCUUUUGAUGAGUUUGGCUUGUUGUUAUGAACAUUGUUCGUUUUGGCCAGUUUGAAGGUUUUUUAGCAUGUGUUAUGGCAUGAAUGUGUUGAAUUAGUAAUCCCUUGUGUUAAGAUGUUGUUUUAGUGUUCUUUUGAUGAGUUUGGCUUGUUGUUAUGAAAAGUGUUUGUUUUGGCGAGUUUGAACGUUUUUGAGCAUAUGUAAUGGCAUGAAUGCUUUAAGCUGUUGUUUUAGUGUUCUUUUGAUGAGAUUUGGCUUGUUGUUAUGAAAAGUGUUUGUUUUGGCGAGUUUGAACGUUUUUGAGCAUGUGUAAUGGCAUGAAUGCGUUAAGCUGUUGUUUUAGUGUUCUUAUGAUGAGUUUGGCUUGUUGUUAUGAACAUUGUUCGUUUUGGCAAGUUUGAAGGUUUUUGAGCAUGUGUAAUGGCAUGAAUGUGUUGAAUUAGUAAUCCCUUGUGUUAAGCUGUUGUUUUAGUGUUCUUUUGAUGAGUUUGGCUUGUUGUUAUGAAAGGUGUUUGUUUUUGCGAGUUUGAACGUUUUUGAGCAUGUGUAAUGGCAUGAAUGCGUUAAGCUGUUGUUUUAGUGUUCUUUUGAUGAGUUUGGCUUGUUGUUAUGAAAAGUGUUUGUUUUGGCGAGUUUGAACGUUUUUGUGCAUGUGUAAUGGCAUGAAUCCGUUAAGCUGUUGUUUUGGUGUUCUUUUGAUGAGUUUGGCUUGUUGUUGUGAAAAGUGUUUGUUUUGAUGAGUUUGAACGUUUUUGAGCAUGUGUAAUGGCAUGAAUGCGUUAAGCUGUUGUUUUAGUGUUCUUGUGAUGAGUUUGGCUUGUUGUUAUGAACAUUGUUCGUUUUGGCGAAUUUGAACGUUUUUGAGCAUGUGUAAUGGCAUGAAUGCGUUAAGCUGUUUAUUUAGUGUUCUUUUGAUGAGUUUGGCUUGUUGUUAUGAAAAGUGUUUGUUUUGGCGAGUUUGAACGUUUUUGAGCAUGUGUAAUGGCAUGAAUGUGUUGAAUUAGUAAUCCCUUGUGUUAAGCCGUUGUUUUAGUGUUCUUUUGAUGAGUUUGGCUUGUUGUUAUGAAAAGUGUUUGUUUUGGCGAGUUUGAACGUUUUUGAGCAUGUGUAAUGGCAUGAAUGCGUUAAGCUGUUGUUUUGGUGUUCUUUUGUUGAGUUUGGCUUGUUGUUAUGAAAAGUGUUUGUUUUGGCGAGUUUGAACGUUUUUGAGCAUGUGUAAUGGCAUGAAUGCGUUAAGCUGUUGUUUUAGUGUUCUUUUGAUGAGUUUGGCUUGUUGUUAUGAACAUUGUUCGUUUUGGCCAGUUUGAAGGUUUUUGAGCAUGUGUAAUAGGCAUGAAUGCGUUAAGCUGUUGUUUUAGUGUUCUUUUGAUGAGUUUGGCUUGUUGUUAUGAACAUUGUUCGUUUUGGCCAGUUUGAAGGUUUUUGAGCAUGUGUAAUGGCAUGAAUGCGAUAAGCUGUUGUUUUAGUGUUCUUUUGAUGAGUUUGGCUUGUUGUUAUGAACAUUGUUCGUUUUGGCCAGUUUGAAGGUUUUUGAGCAUGUGUAAUGGCAUGAAUGCGUUAAGCUGUUGUUUUAGUGUUCUUUUGAUGAGUUUGGCUUGUUGUUAAUGAACAUUGUUCGUUUUGGCCAGUUUGAACGUUUUUGAGCAUGUGUAAUGGCAUGAAUGUGUUGAAUUAGUAAUCCCUUGUGUUAAGAUGUUGUUUUAGUGUUCUUUUGAUGAGUUUGGCUUGUUGUUAUGAACA